rnacentral:rRNA from 1 species
UCGAGAAUUUUUCUCAAUGGGGGAAACCCUGAAGGAGCGACGCCGCGUGGGGGAUGAAUGGCUUCGGCCCGUAAACCCCUGUCAUUUGUGAACAAUGUUCCGGUAUGAACAGUAUCGGAAUUGAUAGUAGCGAAAGAGGAAGGGACGGCUAACUCUGUGCCAGCAGCCGCGGUAAUACAGAGGUCCCGAGCGUUGUUCGGAUUCACUGGGCGUAAAGGGUGCGUAGGUGGUGGGGUAAGUCGGAUGUGAAAGCUCGGAGCUCAACUCCGAAAUGGCAUUGGAAACUACCCUGCUGGAGGUUUGGAGGGGGGACUGGAAUACUUGGUGUAGCAGUGAAAUGCGUAGAUAUCAAGUGGAACACCAGUGGCGAAGGCGAGUCCCUGGACAAAACCUGACACUGAGGCACGAAAGCUAGGGGAGCAAACAGGAUUAGAUACCCCCGUAGUCC